AUAGUUCCUACAUGAAACUGGUCAUGAUUUCUGGAAAGAGACAUUGCUAUUGAGUUUUUCGAAGAGCACCACAAGCCGAUGUCAUCUAGUUCCAUUUUAUUGGAGAAAUGACCAUCAAAACUAUCUACAUUGAUAAAUAGCACUACAGAUGGAUUUGGUGUGGGAACACACACUCCUCGCGUGAACACAAAUACUCCCAGUGACACUGCCGUCGCCGUCCGUCUUCAUCCGUCUCUAAUGUCGGACUCCUCACCUGUCGCCGGGUAGAUGGGAAGACCCUUUCCCAGUUUGGUGGGGAAGAACUUGAUUGGACUGCAAAGAGUCUUGAACUCAACCCCAUCCAGAGAGCUUUGGGAUGAACUGGAACACCAACUGUGAGCCAGGCCUUAUGGUCCAGCAUCAGUGUCAGACCUAAAUAAUGCUUUUGUGGCUGAAUGGGAGAAAAUCCCUGAAGUCAGAUUCAACAGCAGGUUUAAGGACUGAGCCCAGAAGAGUGGACGCUGGUAUAGCACCAAAUACAUGCCCAUUGUUCUGGGAUCA